GAUGAAGAACGCAGCAAAAUGCGAUAAGUAGUGUGAAUUGCAGAAUUCAGUGAAUCAUCGAAUCUUUGAACGCACAUUGCGCCCCCUGGCAUUCCGGGGGGCAUGCCUGUCCGAGCGUCAUUUCUGCCCUCCAGCCCGGCUGGGUGUUGGGCGCUGUCCCCCCGGGGACACGCCCCAAAGGCAGUGGCGGCGCCGCGUCGGGUCCUCGAGCGUAUGGGGCUUUGUCACCCGCUCGGGACGGACUCGUCGGCGCUGGUCUUCCUCCAGGCGACCCUUCGGGGCUCGUCUUCCUUCGGUUGACCUCGGAUCAGGUAGGGUUACCCGCUGAACUUAAGCAUAUCAAUAAGCGGAGGA
rnacentral:misc_RNA from 1 species